GUGGACGCUGGCGGUAGGCCUAACACAUGCAAGUCGAACGGCAGCACAGUAAGAGCUUGCUCUUACGGGUGGCGAGUGGCGGACGGGUGAGGAAUACAUCGGAAUCUACUUUUUCGUGGGGGAUAACGUAGGGAAACUUACGCUAAUACCGCAUACGACCUACGGGUGAAAGCAGGGGAUCUUCGGACCUUGCGCGAUUGAAUGAGCCGAUGUCGGAUUAGCUAGUUGGCGGGGUAAAGGCCCACCAAGGCGACGAUCCGUAGCUGGUCUGAGAGGAUGAUCCGCCACACUGGAACUGAGACACGGUCCAGACUCCUACGGGAGGCAGCAGUGGGGAAUAUUGGACAAUGGGCGCAAGCCUGAUCCAGCCAUACCGCGUGGGUGAAGAAGGCCUUCGGGUUGUAAAGCCCUUUUGUUGGGAAAGAAAAGCAGCAGGUUAAUACCCCGCUGUUCUGACGGUACCCAAAGAAUAAGCACCGGCUAACUUCGUG
rnacentral:rRNA from 1 species